rnacentral:rRNA from 1 species
AGUCGAGCGACUCUUCGAGAGGAGCGGCGAACGGCUGCGUAACACGUUGGAACCUACCCCGUACUCAGGGAUAACAUCGAGAAAUCGAUGCUAAUACCGGAUGGUCUCGUAAGAGUAAAGCUUUUGCGGUACGGGAGGGGCCUGCGGCCUAUCAGCUUGUUGGUAAGGUAAAAGCUUACCAAGGCUAUGACGGGUAGCUGAUCUGAGAGGAUGAUCAGCCAGAAUGGGACUGAGACACGGCCCAUACUCC